CUACGGGGGGCUGCAGUGGGGAAUAUUGGACAAUGGGCGAAAGCCUGAUCCAGCCAUGCCGCGUGUGUGAAGAAGGCCUUCGGGUUGUAAAGCACUUUCAGUGGGGAAGAAAGCCUUGGGGCUAAUACCCUCGAGGAAGGACAUCACCCACAGAAGAAGCACCGGCUAACUCCGUGCCAGCAGCCGCGGUAAUACGGAGGGUGCGAGCGUUAAUCGGAAUUACUGGGCGUAAAGCGCGCGUAGGCGGUCUGAUAAGCCGGUUGUGAAAGCCCCGGGCUCAACCUGGGAACGGCAUCCGGAACUGUCAGGCUAGAGUGCAGGAGAGGAAGGUAGAAUUCCCGGUGUAGCGGUGAAAUGCGUAGAGAUCGGGAGGAAUACCAGUGGCGAAGGCGGCCUUCUGGACUGACACUGACGCUGAGGUGCGAAAGCGUGGGUAGCAAACAGGAUUAGAUACCCUAGUAGUC
rnacentral:rRNA from 1 species